rnacentral:misc_RNA from 1 species
GUGAAUCAUCAAAUUUUUGAACGCAAAUUGCACUCUCUUCGGAGAGUAUGCCUGUUUGAGGGUCAGCCUAAAAAAAAAUCGACUUAGUUGCUGUUUCGCAGUGACAUUCGUCGGAAAUUGGGUCAUCUUUAACCUUUGGGUUUUAAGCUGCUUAAAAUUUUCUUUACGUUUCCACGUACGUUUCUAAGUUUUACUUCUUACUUUUAAGGUAUCGAUUUUUAUUAGACGUGUCCGUUGCACCUGGUUACGUCCAACAAUAUUUCGUUAACUGACCUC